CAGUAGCCGCGGUAAUACGGAGGGGGCUAGCGUUAUUCGGAAUUACUGGGCGUAAAGCGCACGUAGGCGGCGUGGUAAGUCAGAUGUGAAAUCACGGGGGCUCAACCCCGGAACUGCAUCCGAUACUGCCAUGCUAGAGGAUUGGAGAGGUAGCUGGAACUCUUGGUGUAGCAGUGAAAUGCGUGGAGAUCAAGAGGAACACUCGUGGCGAAAGCGAGCUACUGGACAAUAACUGACGCUGAGGCUCGAAGGCCAGGGUAGCGAAAGGGAUUAGAUACCCCGGUAGUCCCUGUCUCUUAUA
rnacentral:rRNA from 1 species